GUUUUAGGAGGAUAUCUCAAUCAGUAGAGCAUGAGACUCUUAAACUUGGGGCCGUGGGUUUGAGCCCCACAUAGAGCA